UUUUCUGAGCCAGAUGCCAGUCACCGAGGUGCUUCAUGACAAGGGUCCCUGUGAAGACCUUGACAAGGUCUUGACUGCACAAUUCCCAGCCCUGAAUUUUCUCCUUCAGAGCUGCUGGGAACCGACCCUCAAAAGAGGAAAUUGAAAAAUCUGCAUACAGUUUAGGGUAAAGCAAUAACAGAAAAAAAAUUGUAGUAAGGAAGGUGAAAUAAGGUGAAAGAGAUGUAUCUCCAACUUGGCUUCUUCAUCCCACCUUCCCUGCAUUUAUGGGGAACGUAAGAGAUAGUUGGGUGCAAAGGGAACAAAGUACAGAGACUAAUAGCCUUCCUCCAAGACUCUACUCUAAUGAGACAUCAAGGCAACAAUCCUGCAAGGUUGACUAGCAUUACUUGGAGAAAAAUAAAGAGAAGUCUGGAAGAAGGAAGAUCCAUUCUCCAAGACCCAACAAAGUAAUAACAGCGAAACAACAAAACCUCAUUUUAACAUAUGCUGAUUAGUGUACAUUUAAAGUGACAAUAAAAUAAUUAUUCUAUCAGAGAUUAUUCAAGUAAUUUCAGAGGAAUCUUGGAAUGUUCUGUUACUCAUUUGCUCAGUAUCAUGGAUGCUUUUAGUCAGUGUUUUUGAACCAUGAUAACUUUAAGAUGUGUGGACUGCCAGCAUGGUGGCUUGGGAAUUCUGGGAAUUAAAGUCCACACUUCUUAAAGAUGCCAAGUUUUUUAAAAUUGCUUUAGAUGGACUAAUGCCAAACUCAAUCUCAUUCCCUCUCCAAGAGAGCAACAAAAAAGGAGUAAAAUCAACCCCCCCAAACAAAAUUGAGAAAUAUACCAGAGGUCCUAAUAGACAGGUGAUACAUUUGUAUGCUAAUCGUCAGCCAUAAUGAUUCUUUAAGCAGCUUAAUAUCAGCUUUAGAGGAAGUUGAUACUUUCCUCCAAAGAGUGGACCUAAAUACCAGGUGCCGUUAGUGGAAUCAAGCAAUAUUCUCAUAUUCAGAGUCCCUUCUCCAGCCAGGAGUCCUGAAAAAUGAAAAGCAUUUAAAUGGAAGCAAUUAUAAUGAUUGUAGCAGGGGCAAUUCAUUUCAGAUCCCACAUAAGAAAAAAAUUUCUCCUGUGUUAAAACAUGAUAAAUGCAUAUCAAGGCAUUUAGCUCUGGUGCCUACAUUCAUAGGUGAUGAGAAGAUUUAUUUCCUGCAUCAUCUCCGGAGUAGUCAGUUAACACUUAUUGCAAGCUGGUGCGAAAGACUUGUGGUGCACGGUUUUAACAGAUCUGCAGGAACGAGAGUAUUGCAAAGUGCAUCCAAGGGCAGUUUUAAGAUCCUUGAGUGAGGAAAUUAAAACGAAUCUUUGUGAUUUACCUAGCAAAGCCUAUUUUGACUUCUUGCAGACUCUCAUUAGAGUGUGUUUCGUUUGGUUAAUGCUAGCAAUUUCUUUGGGCUGUUAGGUAUGUCGAGCCAAUGCCCACUACAGUUUCUAUUUUGUUUUCUCUUCUUUGCGUUAAUUGACAGAUAACAUUUUGACUUAAGAGCGCCAGGGACAGUUUAUUGUGUCACAUAAAGUGUGACAAUAAGAUACAUAUCUGCACAUCUUGACAUUCCAUCUACUCGAUAGGAGUGCCAAUUGAAAAACUAGAGUACAAGCCAAGGAUGAAUCUGAGUGGUGAAUCAACAGAGAAAUGAGACCAGCAGCUUUUGAUAGUCUAUGUGCCAUAGUCCAUAGUUAAAUUUUCUGUGAUGUCAAAUAUGAUUUGUAUAAUAUAUGUACUCUAUGUAUCUGAUCUGCCUUUUUUCUAUUCUCUCUGUUUGACUGAACCUUUUUUUUAAAACUUCUGAGCCAAAUAAAGUUUGUAAAGUGGAAUUUAA